AAUAUUCAUGCAAUUUCAUAUUUAAUUCUCAUAUUAUUUUGUUAUUGAAAUCUACAUUGAUUUUUUAUUGCAAAAUAAUUAUUUGUUAGUUUGAAUAAUUUAAGUCCGUAAUUGCUUGGGUUAUUCUUACAUGAGAACACUUGGGAUAAAACCCAAGGAAAUUGCAUGAUCUAGCGUUAUCUCCAUACGUUUGGGUAGCUAGGAUUGGAUCUCUCUAUUUCUUAAUGCAAUUGACAAUUGU
rnacentral:lncRNA from 1 species